UUUAUUGAAAUCCACUUAUUUAAUGGCUUACUUAAGAUUUGUGCACUUCAUUGUAUGUGAACAUUAUCCCCCAAAUUAAAAAAAAAAAAAAAAUUGAAAAAAAAAAAAAAAAAAAAAAAGCCUGACAUGGUGGUACUUGCCUGUUUCCCAGGUAUUGGGGUGGCUGAGGCAGGAGCAUCUCUUGAGCCCAGUUGGUCAAGGCUGCAGUGAGCUAUGAUUAUACCACUGCACUCCAUCCUGGGUGACAG
rnacentral:lncRNA from 1 species